AACGAACGCUGGCGGCAGGCUUAACACAUGCAAGUCGAACGGGUGCAGCAAUGCAUCAGUGGCAGACGGGUGAGUAACACGUGGGAACCUUCCUAGGGGUACGGAACAACUCAGGGAAACUUGAGCUAAUACCGUAUACGUCCGUGAGGAGAAAGAUUUAUCGCCCUUAGACGGGCCCGCGUCGGAUUAGCUAGUUGGUGGGGUAACGGCCUACCAAGGCGACGAUCCGUAGCUGACCUUAGAGGAUGAUCAGCCACACUGGGACUGAGACACGGCCCAGACUCCUACGGGAGGCAGCAGUGGGGAAUCUUGGACAAUGGGCGCAAGCCUGAUCCAGCCAUGCCGCGUGAGUGAAGAAGGUCUUCGGAUUGUAAAGCUCUUUUGCCAGGGACGAUAAUGACGGUACCUGGAGAAUAAGCCCCGGCAAACUUCGUGCCAGCCGCCGCUGUAAGAC
rnacentral:rRNA from 1 species